rnacentral:tRNA from 1 species
CAUUAGAUUAGUCCCCAGUUCUUCUCUUCAUCACGCGGGGUAGAGCAGCUUGGUAGCUCGCAAGGCUCAUAACCUUGAAGUCACGGGUUCAAAUCCCGUCUCCGCAACAUUUUUGUUUUAAAAAAAUUAGGGUUGUCCCUGUUAACUAGUAAUUAAAUUAAGUAAUUAAUUAAUUACUAUUGGAGCGGGAGGAAAGAAAAGAGGAUAGGGGAUAGAAUCACUAUACUAUUAUGGUCUAC